GAAGAAAGUGGAGCGCAGUGACGCCGCAGACGCCGACUCACCUGCUCUCUCCGCUUUGAUCAGCUCAGCUCCCAGAUCUCCCAGGAUCAUGGAGGCCAAGGGAGCGGCCAGAACUCUGCAGACACUUUCACAGCUGACUUCCUGUAACUGGAGAGGAGAGAAGCGACACUGAAAACAGGAAGAGACCUGAAGUCAGUCAGUUCAGACUCCAUUUUGAAUCAACAGAGCAGAAGAAGAACUGAAGGCUGAGGCAGGCUGACUUCCUGUAACUGUAGAGGAGAGAAGUGACACUGAAAACAGGAAGAGACCUGAAGUCAGUCAGUUCAGACUCCAUUUUGAAUCAACAGAGCAGAAGAAGAACUGAAGGCUGAGGCAGGCUGACUUCCUGUAAAUGCAGAGGGGAGGAGCAGCACUGAGAACAGGUGUUACGUCCCACCCUUUGGUGGCAACAUGGGACGAACACCCCAACACUGACCCAAACUCAACACAAAUAAACACCUUUAUAACAUAACUAGACAAUAAAUUAAGAACACCAAAACACAAGAACACAAUUAAAGCUGCAAGCAGCGUUGGGCGG